rnacentral:rRNA from 1 species
AUUGAACGCUGGCGGCAGGCUUAACACAUGCAAGCCGAGCGGGGAUAGGGUGCUUGCACCUGAUUCCUAGCGGCGGACGGGUGAGUAAUGCUUAGGAAUCUGCCUAUUAGUGGGGGACAACAUUCCGAAAGGGAUGCUAAUACCGCAUACGCCCUACGGGGGAAAGCAGGGGAUCUUCGGACCUUGCGCUAAUAGAUGAGCCUAAGUCGGAUUAGCUAGUUGGUGGGGUAAAGGCCUACCAAGGCGACGAUCUGUAGCGGGUCUGAGAGGAUGAUCCGCCACACUGGGACUGAGACGCGGCCCAGACUACUACGGGAGGCAGCAGUGGGGAAUAUUGGACAAUGGGGGGAACCCUGAUCCAGCCAUGCCGGGUGUGUGAAGAAGGCCUUUUGGUUGUAAAGCACUUUAAGCGAGGAGGAGGCGCUCUAGGAUAAUACCCUAGAUGCGUGGACGUUACUCGCAGAAUAAGCACCGGCUAACUCUGUGCCAGCCGCCGCCGUAACAC